CCGGGCGACCUACCCAUGAGCAGGAUGAAGCGAAAGUAAAAUUUCGUGGAGGUCCGAACCCACGAGCGUUGAACAGCUCGGGGAUGACUUGUGGGUAGCGGUGAAAUUCCAAUCGAGCCCGGAGAUAGCUGGUUCUCCCCGAAAUAGCUUUAGGGCUAGCCUCAAGGUGAGAGAUACGGAGGUAGAGCACUGAAUGUCCUA
rnacentral:rRNA from 1 species